UACGGGGGGGGCGAGCGUUGUUCGGAAUUACUGGGCGUAAAGGGCGCGUAGGCGGUUCGCUAAGUUGGAUGUGAAAACUCUGGGCUCAACCCAGAGCCUGCAUCCAAAACUGGCGGGCUAGAGUUCUGGAGGGGGUAGCGGAAUUCCUGGUGUAGCGGUGAAAUGCGUAGAUAUCGGGAGGAACACCAGUGGCGAAGGCGGCAUCCUGGCCCUGUCCUGACGCUCAGGGGCGAAAGCGUGGGGAGCAAACCGG
rnacentral:rRNA from 1 species